UGAAAUGACCUUUCGGCUGCCUGGACACUGUGUGUCCUCCUGGAGUUCUCUGGAGGCGGGGAGAGAGUGGGGAGUGAGGAGACUGAGCACAAGUGCAAAGGGUGGAAAGGAGGACACAGGAGCCAGUAGAGCCCCAGCCCCUGCCUCAGCCUCAGCUUGCUCCCUCUUUCACCAAUUCCUGGCCGCAACAGUGUGGUAAAGGGAGUGCUCCUGCCCUCUGCUGAUCUGAAUUCAAGCCAUGGUGACCUUAGAACCAGGAUUCAAGGCAGGAUGUUGCAGCCAGCCAUCUAAGCAGAGAAGCCCAGAGAAUCCAGGGUACCUGGAACUCAAUCCCAAGAGGGGUUUGGACUUCGAACUUUGAACAGAGAAUGCGCUGGGCGGGGACUCAGCCAUAUUUGCAGAACAUUCCACACUGAAUCUGGAAAGCAAAGGGUUCCAGAGUCACGUGGGACUGGUGCCGCACAUGUCAUACAGGAGAAUGUCUGCAUUACCAGAUUCAUGUUUUCAAAUAUUUGUAGCUAUCUCAUGAGGUUGU